rnacentral:rRNA from 1 species
GUUGACCUCAAAUCAG